UACGUAGGGGGCAAGCGUUGUCCGGAUUUAUUGGGCGUAAAGAGCGUGUAGGCGGCCCGAUAAGUCCGCUGUGAAAGUCCAGGGCUCAACCCUGGGAUGCCGGUGGAUACUGUCGGGCUGGAGUCCGGAAGAGGCGAGUGGAAUUCCUGGUGUAGCGGUGAAAUGCGCAGAUAUCAGGAGGAACACCAAUUGCGAAGGCAGCUCGCUGGGACGUUACUGACGCUGAGACGCGAAAGCGUGGGGAGCAAACAGG
rnacentral:rRNA from 1 species